rnacentral:lncRNA from 1 species
UUCUCUACAACUCAAGGCUUUGCUUGUUUCAAGGUAAGUUGAAAUCUAGAUGGUAUGGUUUCUUUACUAUGCUAAGAGUGUUCCCGUGUGGUGCUUUGGAAUAUAAGAGAGAUAGUGAAGCCCCAUUCAAAGUAAAUGGGCAAAGAGUAAAGCACUAUAUGAGUAACACUAAGAAAAUAAAUAUGAGUUUUGAGAUAGACCUUGGUGAAGUCUUAGUAACAAAGGUAAUUAUGUCAUGCCACGAC